GCAGCAGCCGCGGUAAUACGGAGGGGGCUAGCGUUGUUCGGAAUUACUGGGCGUAAAGCGCACGUAGGCGGCUUUGUAAGUUAGAGGUGAAAGCCCGGGGCUCAACCCCGGAAUUGCCUUUAAGACUGCAGGGCUAGCAGGUGAGAGAGGUGAGUGGAAUUCCGAGUGUAGAGGUGAAAUUCGUAGAUAUUCGGAAGAACACCAGUGGCGAAGGCAAUCCCCUGGGCCUGUACUGACGCUCAUGCACGAAAGCGUGGGGAGCAAACAGGAUUAGAUACCCCCGUAGUCCCUGUCUCUUAUAC
rnacentral:rRNA from 1 species